GAUGAACGCUGGCGGCGUGCCUAAUACAUGCAAGUCGAGCGAACGGACGAGAAGCUUGCUUCUCUGAUGUUAGCGGCGGACGGGUGAUUAACACGUGGAUAACCUACCUAUAAGACUGGGAUAACUUCGGGAAACCGGAGCUAAUACCGGAUAAUAUUUUGAACCGCAUGGUUCAAAAGUGAAAGACGUUCUUGCUGUCACUUAUAGAUGGAUCCGCGCUGCAUUAGCUAGUUGGUAAGGUAACGGCUUACCAAGGCAACGAUGCAUAGCCGACCUGAGAGGGUGAUCGGCCAAACUGGAACUGAGACACGGUCCAGACUCCUACGGGGGGCAGCAGUAGGGAAUCUUCCGAAAUGGGCGAAAGCCUGACGGAGCAACGCCGCGUGAGUGAUGAAGGUCUUCGGAUCGUAAAACUCUGUUAUUAGGGAAGAACAUAUGUGUAAGUAACUGUGCACAUCUUGACGGUACCUAAUCAGAAAGCCACGGCUAACUACGUG
rnacentral:rRNA from 1 species